AAAAAUGUGAUAUAUCUAUAAAUGUAAUAUUAUGCUGCAUAAUAUCAUAGACACAAAAGGCCACAUAUUGUAUGAUUUUUAUUUUAAAUGAAAUGUCCAGAACAGGCAAAUCCUUAGAGAUAAAAAGUAGAUUAGUGGUGGCCAGUGGCUGAGAGGAGACUGAGUAGGGAGUGAAGGCUAAUGAAUAACGGGCUUUCUUUGAAGAUGAUAAAAUUUUUCUGAAAUUAGAUAGUGGUGAUGGCUGUAAAACUUUGUGACUGUACUAAAAGCUACUGAAUUUUAUAUUUCAAAAGGGUGAAUUUUAUGGUGUGUGAAUUAUAUCUCAAUAAAAAAAAUAAAAGAUAUACUCUCGGUAUCAAAUGGUUUUUAACAUAAAGGUUGCAUUACCACAUAGAUGACUCUGAGAUGUAUCUCCCGAAUACUGAAUAAGUUUUCAAAAGAAACGAAACCAUUAAAAGAUUCAAUAAUCGACUAAAACUUUGAGCUGUUUUUCCUUCCAUGUAGGUAGCCUCAUUUUUCAGCCAAUUAAAGCAAGUAAACCUGAACUGAAACCACACAGAUUCACAGGGUCCGUGGAGAGCAAGUCUAUGAAGCUGCGCUGGCGGUCUCAGGCCUUCCCGUCUGGUUUCUGGGACUUUCCUGCCCUUUUGUUUCAGGCGCCCUGCAGCUCACAGGUGCCUUGUGAAGUUUUGCACCACGCUUCCUCCUCACUGCUUCUGAGAAGCUCACCCAGAGCUUGCAAGGUGGGGUCCCUAUCCCAACUGCCGUCAGUUCAAUCUGAGGAAUGAGGCUCUCAAGAGAAACUUCAGGCCUCAGGUCCAGGCGAGUGGGGAGACAUCCUUAGACAGCAGGCCGACUCCUUGAUCACGUCAGGGACGGCACAGAGGGGACACCUCACACAGGACCCACUCUUAGUCCUUAGCAUAGCUUCUGGCCUAUCUGUCAGCAAAAGUCGGCCGUGCCCCUAGGAGGAGUCUCCAGAAGGUUAAAUUGUAUGUAAAAAUCCAGAAGGAACUUUGGAUGGCUCAGUGAGUAUUUCCCAUGUUAAGUCAAAUGCUAUUUAAUACGUUUUAGUUUCAACUCAGCUGAGUUUCACAUCGUUAUGAAUGACAAAUUUAAGAUAAGGAUCCCAUGCUGUCCGCACAAUCAUCCCUUUAGCUAGAGAGUGAGGCCCCACUAUAGGGUCAACCUUCUGUCCCUCCCUCCCUCUGCUUUUAAGAUGUUUUCUGCCUAGAAGGCUCCUCAGACGCUUGUGCAUCUGGUCUCCUAGGAGGAGACCCAGCCUCGCAUUUGCCGGCAGGGGCAGAAGUACGCUUGAGGCCCCCGCCCUCCAACCCACGCCUGCCCCUGUUGUUUCCUCAUCAUCUUUUCGGUCUUGCAACUUGAGGGACCUCGUGCACACUCCUGGGUAUGUGGACAUCCCAGCUCAAAUGUAGGAGGCCUGCAAAGAGCUGCCCUUGGCCACUGUCAGGCUAGGGAUGCAGGGAAUAGCUGUGAUGCUGAGACUUGAAGAGGCCCAGGCAGGUUCUAGAAGCAGGCUGGCACUUUGAGGAAGGAAAUGUCAGGGUUCAGGGUAUCCAAGGCAGGGACUGGAGGAAGUGCACUGGUUCCAGGUGGCCAUUCCCCCUUGGCUUCGCGGACUGCUCUUAACUAAAGCUUGGGCCUCAGGCUGGGGCCCCCUUUGCCUGGUUCUAAGGGCGGAACUGCCUGGAGCUCCCCUGCCACAGUCUUCCAGGCACACGCAGCCACCAAGGACAUCUUACCUCUGCCAGGAAUCCCAGCUUAGUCUUAAACCACCUUUUUACCCACACCCCUUUCUCCAUAAUACAGCACUCACACCUUAUACGCAUCUAUAAGGCAUGCAAAUAAGUGUAAUUCUCUUGUUAGAUGAAGGCAAGAAGUCCCUGCAAUCUAGAGUAAACCAGGCUAAGGUCCAGGUCUUGCAGAGACCAUGUAGAACACACACUCCUUCUUCCACACGGAAUUAUGAAACUCUGCUUCUCUCUCACCAGGACACUCAGCAGGACUCAAGAGUUUAAGGGAUUUUUCUCACUUUAUUGAGCUUCUAAAGUGGUUUUUAAUUCUAUGGGAAUGAUUUAGAAAUUGCUGUGAAAUGUAAUUGAUCUUCAUAAAUGUGCAUAUAAUAUAUUUUGCACUAACAAGCGUUGCAUUGUGAUUUGUUUGCACACGUGUGCCCUUCACUCCUGGAAUGCUGAGGAACGAUGUAUUAUUUUCACUUUUUAAAAAUUAACUCCUUUCUCAAAGGGAGAACAAUAGAAAGUUGCUGGAAAGAUAAUUUCUAGGAAGAAAGGUGAACUCAACCAUUUUUAUGAUUGUGUUUUUUCCUCUCGACAUUGUUUAGCAAAAGCCGGAGAACUUGUCUGUUACUCUCGCAGGACUUCUAAUUAGUCCUGGCCUCAUCUGUAUACACGUAAAGAGUAUUUAGGAUAAUCUUGCACUGCAUAUAAUUAAGCAGGGCUGUGUCCUGGUCUAUAAUCACCAGGGACUCCCUUCUGAGAAAAUGCGCUUCUUAUUUAACUGCCCAAUUUACUCCAUAGUGUGAUGCUGUCAAGGGCUACACCCUUCCCAGGUAAAUUAGUUUUCUCAGACAGACCAUAAAGCCUUGUCAGGGGAGGUGCCUCUUCCAAGAAGUCCUCCCUUUUCAUUUAUUCCGUAUGCAUUCCUCCAUCCUUCUCACCCUGUAAGUACUCAUCAAGACUGACGCCCUAAUUCUCAAGUCCCAGGGCAGAACCCCCACAGGUCUCUUGCUCAAAAAGCACGGCACAAAGCUUUCCUUUCUUUCUCUGUCUCUCUCUUGGCCUGUCGUGGUGUUUCUUAUUUGCUGUUUAACGUCACGCUCCCUGGAGCAUAAGGAUGCUAACAGGGUGAGCACAGACUCUCCUAGGUGCCUGGGCCUGCACAGCACUUGGUGCCUGGGGUCUGUGCACCCACUUUGACCCUCCCUGCACCCGCACCUGAGUCCAGGCCGCCUGCCCAGUGGCUGUGGGCAUUGGAUGGCAGCAGGGAGCAGGCAGUCAACAACCUGCAAGAGUUGGGGAGGCCAUGGGGGGCAUGACUAACCUCCUUCCCACGUGCCGUGCUCCAUUGUCCCUUUGGACUUCACUUACAAAACACUCAUUCAAAGAUAAAACUAUUAAGAAUUUCUGCCACAACUAGAAGGACCCAGAGCUAAGAUAUACAACUAUGUGCUGGGGGGAUUUGGGGAGAUAAAGCAGAAAGAAAAAAGAAAAAAAAAGAAUUUCAAGAGGUGACAGGAGCAUUAAGCCCCAAGCAUGGGGCCCUUCUGAGCCCAGGGCUGCACUGGUGGUCCGCACUUGCUACCUCUGUGGUAUCUUCUCUUCUCCAGUGUGGUGGUGGGCCCAGGAUAGACAGUUACAAGCACUUACUGAAAGCAGUCCUUUAACAGCAAGUUUCCCUGGUCAGUGGGAUGGAGGAGCAUUCUCCACGAGACUGUCUCCUGUAGGCGCUCCUACCACUGACCUGCCAGUGCCCACCAUCGAGGAAACCAGGGGUCUGGCCACGACAUUUAUCUGUAAUUUAUGCCAUUGUUCUGACUUCAGAAAGCACCACAACUUCUGUGCCAGGUUAACAUCCUCUGUCCUUAGCGGUCAUCAACGGCAUACAAGGUCGGCAGAAUGCCCAGCCACCUGCAUUGCCUAACGCAUGGCAGACUGCAUCUGUAUCCACCGGGCACAGCCAGGGGAUGCGAGAAGAGAAAGGGAUGGUUUCCAGCCUUAUUUCAAAUUUAUCUUGGCCCCUACUCCUCCAGCAGAUUUAAACGCUGUCCCUUUUGAGACACAAGUGUAUUUGCGUUGUUCCUCCAUGUCUUGAUUUUAUUACUUUUAUUUCUCUAUUUCCUGUUCACAUGUGCCUAUAUCAGAGUUUUCUACCCUCAUGUAUGAAUAUCAAGUCCUCAUUCCAUAGUUCAAUGACCCAUGCACUAAUAUGUGGUUUUGGAAACAACGUCGCUUUUCUCACCAAAAAAUUACACAUAUUACAGAAAAUCUAGAAAAUUUAGAACAGAAGAAAAUAAACAAUCACCAGAAUGGUAUCAUCAGAGAGAGUUAAUUUAGCAUUUUAGCACACGUAUUUUUGGCCUUCUUUAUACUUACACGUCUAUGGUGUCUAUAUUAUAGAGAUACUGUAAAUAUUUGCUUUUCAUCCACUUGAUAGUGUACCAUGAAUACUUGUCAUGCUGUUAAUUAUUAAUCUAAAACAUGAUUUUCAAACUUUCAGAUGCAUAAGAAUCACCUGGGAGCAUGUGGGAAACGAAGGUUCUAAGGGUCCUCACUCACAGAUCCGAACGCAUGAAUCUGAGAUGAGGACCAGAGAGCUGCCUGUUGAAAAGCAUCCCAGUGAUUCUGAUGCAGGCGCCUCCCGGCACUCACUCUGACAAACACCGUCCACAGCGCGAUUGUUAAUUGCCGCACUGUGUUUUAUUACAUAGACGUGCCAUAACUUAUUAAACCAAUCUGAUAUUGUUCAUUCAACUCUAGUUUCCAAAUUUUCAUCUGCAUGAUUAAUUCCUCAAUGAAUAACCUACUACAUAACUCUUUCUGAACCUCUCUGAUUAUUCGCUUACAAAGAUGCUACAAAGCGGAAUUACUGGGUCAAAGAGAAUGCAAACUUGAGAAAAGCAGAUGGUAUUUUGGGUAGAAAAACAACCUUCUAAGCUGUAAAGUAUUAGACUAAGAUGAAAGAUUUAACAGCUGCCGCUUUCUGAGAGACUUUCAUACACCAGGAUGGUGGUUCUCAAAAUUUAUCCCGCGUGGACUCACCUGGAGGGCUUAUAAAAACAGAUUGCUGUCGCUUCCUCCCUGCCCGCUCUGAUUCAGCAGGUGAGGUGGGGCUGGAAAGGUGCGUUUCUAACAAGUUCUCAGAUGCUGCUGAUGCUGCUGGUUUGGGGACCACACUUCGAGAACUAGACGCUAUCCCAGCUGUUUCAAGCAAGUUAUUUAAAUGCCCUGGCAGCCCUUUACAGGCGAGGGCUGAGACUCAGAGAGGGUCUGAGGCCAUGAAGCUAAUGAUGCCAGAGCCGGGCGCUCUGAUUCCAGGUUUGAUCAUUUAAUGGCUGAUGCUUUCCUACAAACAGCCUCGUUUCUUACUUCAUUUCACUGCCCACAGAUAAAAUAUUUUUUGAUGUCUUCAUAAUAAGCGCCAAAGGUUCCGGUGUAAACCGCAUCCCUCCCAAUCUCGUAGGGGUGGCUGGGCGAGGAGAGAGGUUUGGAAGUGUUGGCUGAGAAUUUUUUCAGGGGCAGCUGGUCCAAUGAGUGACACUCCACCAUUCACAUCAAUCGGAUGGGUUCCUUCCCCGCCCUCCAUGGCUUCACCGACAUGUGGACUUCCAGACAAUCACUUCUCAACAGUUACUGCAACCGGGUAAUACUUCUUCCUCAGAAGAGAGCUCUCUCUUCUCCAAAAACCACCUCCAGGCUGCUCCACACAAUGGCCCAAACAACCUGUUUGUUCAGGCAACUCAGAAAAUAAAUCAUAUCAGUGCGGAAAAACAAGGAACUCCUGUCAAACCUGCUGGUUAAUAAUACCCGGCAGAGCAAACAGCAGGGGCCUGGCAAACAAGGAGCCAGGAUGGCUUCUCCCACACUCAGGUUAAGAGAGGUGAGCGUUUCCGAACCCACGCCCAGCCUCGCCAGCCACGUGAGUCACACAUAUUUCACAACUGAAGAAAUUCGAAGACCUAAUUAUGCAAAAUUUCGCCUGUUUAUCAUCUCGGGCUUUUGUCACCCUGCUGCCUUGUAGUGUGUUGACAAUUGUGUGUCGAUUUUUUUUCUCCAUAUGUCAUUCAGUCUCCAUGUCUUGAUCCUGCGAUUUGAGGUCUUUGCUAGGCACUCUACAAAGAGAAAUGGAACGCCGGCUGUCUAAAACAUGUUUUGUGUGGCUUCUAGAUAGUUCCAUUGGAUGUGGGUGCCCGAGAACAAUCCAUCCUUCCUGCCCAAUUACAUAACUCAGAAGGCGUUACUCCUAUCUGUCUUAAGGCAAAUUCGGUCUGGGCUGCUUCAUCAUGUAAGACAAGGCAGUACAUCCAACAGCGACAUAAUUGGUCUUUCUGCAUGUGCUCUGAGCCCCCACGGCUUAUUGUUAACACAGCUACUAGAGUCAUCUUUCCAAAGCCAAAUUCAAGUCAUUCUUCCGGAUGUUUGGAUUAUUCUCCUGCUAACAUUUGGCCGAUUGGGUGAAUUUAAUACCUUCUGUCUAGCUGCUUUGUGCCAAAAAUUGUGUAGAAGUGACCAUAGUCAACAUGGGGGCGCCACCUGGUACCACGAGGAGCACACCAAGAAAGAGCAGCAACACUGAAGGACUGCGGGAGCCGGACGCUGGGAAUCUGCCGUCUUUCCCUGGACUGCCCACCUCGGCUCAGCUUUCACGUGAGAGAAAUAGAUUGUGUUCUCAUGUAAGCCACAGCCAUUUUGGAUUUUCCUGUUGUGCAGUCAAACCUAACCCUAAAUAAUGCACACCUGUGAUUUGAAAGCAUUUUAGCGCUUACAAAAACACCCUAUAUUACUUAUCUCAUUUCUUCAACAAUCCUAUACAAUGCAAGGAACAGGAACUAUCAUUCCCACUUUUCAGUCGAAGAAACUGACCUUUUAGGAAGUUAAAUGACUUGCACACGGUCAAACAACUAGUAAGUAGAGAGUCUGGAUCAAAGAGAAGUUCGAUAUCUUCGUACAACUAGUCCCACCUGUUGAGACAGGGAGACACAAGCCCGGUGCACGGUCCUGGAGUGAGACAGAUCUGACUGCAGAUUUUUCUGUCUGGCUCCUCUUGUCUUAGGCGAGUUAUCUACCUUUCGUGAUCCUCAUGUAAUUAUUUGCAAGGUGGGUAAACAAUACCUCUAGGGAUCAAACGCUCCGAAUGAGAUAAGGUUUGUGGAGCUCCUGGUCCAGGGUCUGAGAUACAGCAGAUGCUCAGUAAAUAGAGCUCUUAUGGUGGCAGAUGCUUAUCAUUCUAAAGGUUAUUCAGAUGUGGGAGCAAAGGAAUGGAGGGGAGAGACUCAAAGGCUGCUUCAUCUUGAAGUUCUGUAUGUCUGUAAAGAAUUUGAAAUAUUUUUCUUUCUUUCUGGUUCAAAAGAUCAGAUUAGUGGGCCUGGGAGUGGCUAAGUUUCUUGUGUCCUCUGAACAUCUUCAAGUUAUUUCUCCCUAUCUCCAUUUGGGGAGAGACGUCACAGAAAAAUGUUUUUUGCUUUCAAGCUUCUCACAAGACUCAAGAAGAUGGGAAAGCACCCAUUCCAAAGCAAUUUCUAAAUUUCCCUUAUAGAAGUGAAGCGGGAACUCCUAGAGUAGCAAGUUGAAUUUUGUUUCUCAAAUACAGUUUGCAUGCCCCCUUCAGACUCAACUAGAUGAGAAAAAUGUCCUUCAAGCCCCUCAGACCUUGAAGAAAGUCAUCCAGAUGCACCCUCUGACGUGCACCUGCAACCACAACGGGGAGCCACGAUGUUUCAGAAAUGUAUCAGCAGCAGAGAGCAUGUUGCUAUUCCCCACACAAUUCAUUUGACUUCAGCAACUUUUAAUAACACCAUCGGCUUGGUGCUAAACUGUGAAACGGAUUCCAUUUUUGUAAUAUUGUUAUUCCACGGCACAGUGCUGUUAGAAGCAGUCCCAGAAGCAAAGACAUCGUGCAGCAGCUGUGCAGAGCUGGCUUCUCAUCACAGCUGAACGCCAACAUGGGCGAAUCAAUGAGGAAGACACCCCCACUUCUGCGGACCUACAGCCGCCAGUUCCAAAGGCACAUAAAUAUCAAGCAUCCUGCAAGAGAAGUGACAUGGCAGCAGGGAGAAUGACAGUCAAGCCCUCCGUGGCCGGGAGCACAUAGAGUCCUGCAGGUGGCUGGCUGGUCAAGCUGGGUGAGUAGAGUUGAGUGAUGUCUGCUUCUGAGCCACGUUCCAGGACACUGCAUCCGAACAAGACCCUGGCUGCAUCGUGCACAUGUUAGAGAGGCCCUGGACUAGGCUGUUGGUUCUCAACCUGGCUAUUUUAAUAAGUCCCCUAGCUAGAGGACCCGUCUGCUUGCAGCUCACAUUGGUAUGAAAGUGGAGCCACCAAUUGGAUCGGGAAUUGCCAUCUCCACCACCGACAUGGGGCCCUAGAGUCACCAGCAUCACUCACUGGUCAGCUGAAACACAACGUUAGGAAGACUGUCACAGACCUGGCUCACUGCAAGGGUGAAGGGAGGCUGAUGUGACGAGUGAGACGCUCCCUGUGGGUGAGGGGAGCAGCCCCCUGCCCCCCAUGUCCUGGGAGGUGGAUCGAAUCGUCGAGGAGGAAUCUUGAGAGGGGUGCAAUUCAGGGGGCUGAGAGUUCCAACUUUUCCUCUCCUGUUUUAGGAAGUGCUUCUGAAAUGGUCC
ensembl:lncRNA